GCAGCCCCAAAAACUGUCCCCGAGCCAGGCCACCAACCCGAGCCCGACCCAGAACCAGAAACCUGAUGGAGAGGUGCCAGCCAAAGUAGAUGGUCUACCAGCAGUAAGCCCCACGAUCCAAAACACAGAAGAAGCAGUCAGGAAGUGUCCAGACAUCACAGAUCGUUUGAGGCUUCUGGAGCAGGAAGUG